rnacentral:misc_RNA from 1 species
GAUGAAGAACGUAGCGAAAUGCGAUAAGUAGUGUGAAUUGCAGACUUUAGUGAAUCAUCGAAUCUUUGAACGCACAUUGCGCCCCUUGGUAUUCCAUUGGGCAUGCCUGUUCGAGCGUCAUUUACAACCUCAAGCUCCGCUUGGUGUUGGGUGUCUGUCUGCGCUUCUUGCGAAGACUCGCCCUAAAUCUAUUGGCAGCGGCAUCGCCGGCUUCUCGCGCAGUACAAUGCGUUAUGGAAGGCUACCGGCGGGCUUGCGUCCAUCAAGUAACCCCCCAAGUUUGACCUCGAAUCAGGUAGGGAUACCCGCUGAACUUAAGCAUAUCAAUAAGCGGAGGA